ensembl:rRNA 5S_rRNA 5S ribosomal RNA
GUCUACGGUCAUACCAGCCUCAAUACACACAGUCUUGUCUGAUCUCAGAAGCCAAGGAGUGUUGGGUCUGGUUAGUACUUGGGAUGGGAGAUUGCCAGGGAAUAUUCGGUGCUGUGGACU